rnacentral:tRNA from 1 species
GCAGGCGCAGGAUGCGUUGAUCCACGCCGAUGGCGUCGGCGCGCCUGGUGAACGUGUCGGCAUCCAGCGUGCCGCGCUGCUUCUGCA